rnacentral:lncRNA from 1 species
CGCCCCGCGAACAUUUUAGACGUGGUUGGCUGAAUCUGCACAUGGGGAGCCCAUGGAUAUGAAGGGCUUAUUGUAGUGAGACCCACCUCCCAAACAUUAUGUCAGUUAAAACGGUGUAUCCCUCAGAGGCAUAAACUUGGGAUGGAUAAGUCUAACUUCAGAUGUAGCUAAGUCAGGAAUUUAUGGCAUCACUGUGGGGAGGGAAGGUGGCAUCUUCUGACAAGGAAGGGCUGAGUCUUCUGCCUUCUGUACUAGGAAUGGGUCAGUCAGCCUUUCUAGACCAAAUGCACCAAGAAUCCUGCAGAGAGCUAGCUUCCCAAAAGAAAACCGAGGCACUGUUUUCCACAUAAAGGGUGUGGAUGCAGGGCCUGCUGAAACACCAGGCAUCCAGUGGUACCUCUUUAGCCACGCUCUUCACAUUUCCUCCUUCAGUUCCCUACCUUUUACCCACUCGAUCAUCGUCUGCCUUCUAGACCAUGCCCUGGCCUGUUGGGACUGGCUUUUACUUCAAGGAAGUACAACUCCUGCACCAAAGCAACAUGGACCCUCCCUGGGCCAGCACUUGAAGAAGUCUCUGCCCGUUCCUCCUCCAGCUGGGCCCAUACUCACAAGGAGUCCUUAAGAUCAAGGGCUAUGAUGAAUGGAGCUGUUGUGAAAUCUGUAUGUUUUCUAUGGUUUGAACCCCAGAAUUCAUGUGUUGGUAACUUCAUCCUCAGAGUCAUAUGAUAAUGAAAGUGAGUUUGCUUCCAGUGCUAGUUGUGGGACCUGUCUUCUAACAGCAAGUGCCUUAAAGAAAAAUAUAUAAUGAGCAGCAGUCAUGUGGAACCCAGAAGUGAUGCAGAUAAGAUGCUGGAUGCCCAGAAGCCGUGGCUUUUAUCAGUGCCCCAUUUCCUUGUGACCAGGACUGGCCUGGGUGAGGACUGAAGCGCUGCCCUCCCACAGCACCACCUGGAACAGGCCAUCCUGAAGAGAUGGAUGCUAAGGCCAGUUAGCACCCUGUUUUGCUAAUUGGAUGUGGCGGUGUAUGCCUGUAAUCUUACCACUCUGUGAGGCUGAUGCAGGAGGAUUCCAAGUUUGAGCCCAGCCUGGGCAACUUCAUGACUUCGUAAGACCUGUCUCAAAAUGAAAAAGAGGUGGGGAUGUGGAUUUGGGUUCAAUCCCUUAUACUGCCAAGA